rnacentral:rRNA from 1 species
GUCUGUGGCCACACCACCCUGAACGCGCCCGAUCUCGUCUGGUCUCAGAAGCUAAGCAGGGUCGGGCCUCGUUAGUACUUGGAUGGAAAACAGAUCUUCAGAGGAGACUGCUCAGAGACA